rnacentral:tRNA from 1 species
UCGGAAAGUAGCUCAGCUUGGUAGAGCACAUGGCUGGGGGCCAUGUGGUCGCAGGUUCAAAUCCUGUCUUUCCGAU